rnacentral:rRNA from 1 species
AUCGAAUUUGAAUAUCUGGCGCCUUCGGUGUCCGAGUUGUAAUUUGAAGAUUGGUAGAGCCUUGGGGUUGGCUCUUGUCUAUGUUUCUUGGAACAGGACGUCACAGAGGGUGAGAAUCCCGUGCGAUGAGAUGCCCAAUCCUAUGUAAGGUGCUUUCGAAGAGUCGAGUUGUUUGGGAAUGCAGCUCUAAGUGGGUGGUAAAUUCCAUCUAAAGCUAAAUAUUGGCGAGUAGACCGAUAGCGAACAAGUACAGUGAUGGAAAGAUGAAGAAGAACUUUGAAAUGAGAGUGAAAAAGUACGUGAAAUUGUUGAAAGGGAAGGGUUUGAGAUCAGACUCGAUAUUUUGUGAGCCUUGCCUUCGUGGCGGGGUGACCCGGCAGCUUAUCGGGCCAGCAUCGGAUUUGGGCGGUAGGAUAAUGGCGUAGGAAUGUGACUUUACUUCGGUGAAGUGUUAUACGCCUGCGUUGAUGCUGCCUGCCUAGACCGAGGACUGCGAUUUUAUCAAGGAUGCUGGCAUAAUGAUCCCAAACCGCC